AGGGGAGCCGGAGGGAAACCGAGUCUUAAUUGGGCGUUAAGUUGCAGGGUAUAGACCCGAAACCCGGUGAUCUAGCCAUGGGCAGGUUGAAGGUUGGGUAACACUAACUGGAGGACCGAACCGACUAAUGUUGAAAAAUUAGCGGAUGACCUGUGGCUGGGGGUGAAAGGCCAAUCAAACCGGGAGAUAGCUGGUUCUCCCCGAAAGCUAUUUAGGUAGCGCCUCGUGAACUCAUCUCCGGGGGUAGAGCACUGUUUCGGCUAGGGGGCCAUCCCGGCUUACCAACCCGAUGCAAACUGCGAAUACCGGAGAAUGUUAUCACGGGAGACACACGGCGGGUGCUAACGUCCGUCGUGAAGAGGGAAACAACCCAGACCGCCAGCUAAGGUCCCAAAGUCAUGGUUAAGUGGGAAACGAUGUGGGAAGGCCCAGACAGCCAGGAUGUUGGCUUAGAAGCAGCCAUCAUUUAAAGAAAGCGUAAUAGCUCACUGGUCGAGUCGGCCUGCGCGGAAGAUGUAACGGGGCUAAACCAUGCACCGAAGCUGCGGCAGCGACGCUCAGGCGUUGUUGGGUAGGGGAGCGUUCUGUAAGCCUGUGAAGGUGGCCUGUGAGGGUUGCUGGAGGUAUCAGAAGUGCGAAUGCUGACAUAAGUAACGAUAAAGCGGGUGAAAAGCCCGCUCGCCGGAAGACCAAGGGUUCCUGUCCAACGUUAAUCGGGGCAGGGUGAGUCGACCCCUAAGGCGAGGCCGAAAGGCGUAGUCGAUGGGAAACGGGUUAAUAUUCCCGUACUUGGUGUUACUGCGAAGGGGGGACGGAGAAGGCUAUGUUGGCCGGGCGACGGUUGUCCCGGUUUAAGCGUGUAGGUGUGUGUUCCAGGUAAAUCCGGUUCACUUUAACACUGAGGCGUGACGACGAGGCACUACGGUGCUGAAGCAACAAAUGCCCUGCUUCCAGGAAAAGCCUCUAAGCAUCAGGUAACAUCAAAUCGUACCCCAAACCGACACAGGUGGUCAGGUAGAGAAUACCAAGGCGCUUGAGAGAACUCGGGUGAAGGAACUAGGCAAAAUGGUGCCGUAACUUCGGGAGAAGGCACGCUGACACGUAGGUGAAGUGAUUUACUCAUGGAGCUGAAGUCAGUCGAAGAUACCAGCUGGCUGCAACUGUUUAUUAAAAACACAGCACUGUGCAAACACGAAAGUGGACGUAUACGGUGUGACGCCUGCCCGGUGCCGGAAGGUUAAUUGAUGGGGUCAGCGCAAGCGAAGCUCCUGAUCGAAGCCCCGGUAAACGGCGGCCGUAACUAUAACGGUCCUAAGGUAGCGAAAUUCCUUGUCGGGUAAGUUCCGACCUGCACGAAUGGCGUAAUGAUGGCCAGGCUGUCUCCACCCGAGACUCAGUGAAAUUGAACUCGCUGUGAAGAUGCAGUGUACCCGCGGCAAGACGGAAAGACCCCGUGAACCUUUACUAUAGCUUGACACUGAACAUUGAGCCUUGAUGUGUAGGAUAGGUGGGAGGCUUUGAAGCGUGGACGCCAGUCUGCGUGGAGCCGACCUUGAAAUACCACCCUUUAAUGUUUGAUGUUCUAACGUGGACCCGUUACCCGGGUUGCGGACAGUGUCUGGUGGGUAGUUUGACUGGGGCGGUCUCCUCCUAAAGAGUAACGGAGGAGCACGAAGGUUGGCUAAUCCUGGUCGGACAUCAGGAGGUUAGUGCAAUGGCAUAAGCCAGCUUGACUGCGAGCGUGACGGCGCGAGCAGGUGCGAAAGCAGGUCAUAGUGAUCCGGUGGUUCUGAAUGGAAGGGCCAUCGCUCAACGGAUAAAAGGUACUCCGGGGAUAACAGGCUGAUACCGCCCAAGAGUUCAUAUCGACGGCGGUGUUUGGCACCUCGAUGUCGGCUCAUCACAUCCUGGGGCUGAAGUAGGUCCCAAGGGUAUGGCUGUUCGCCAUUUAAAGUGGUACGCGAGCUGGGUUUAGAACGUCGUGAGACAGUUCGGUCCCUAUCUGCCGUGGGCGCUGGAGAACUGAGGGGGGCUGCUCCUAGUACGAGAGGACCGGAGUGGACGCAUCACUGGUGUUCGGGUUGUCAUGCCAAUGGCACUGCCCGGUAGCUAAAUGCGGAAGAGAUAAGUGCUGAAAGCAUCUAAGCACGAAACUUGCCCCGA
rnacentral:rRNA from 1 species